CAAUAAGCUGUGAGGGGAAGUAGUAGACAUAAUUUCUAUUUUAAAGAGAACGGGCAUUUAUGGUGAGAGCCUGUGAAUAGUAUAUGUGUUGAACUCGUCCUGGAGCUGUAGGCUGAAAUAGUAGUAAGCCUUAUCGGUAAAAAGCCGUUAUUUAAUUGAGUACAAAUUUGGGUGGUACCGCGGACAGACUUCUCGCCCCAUAG
rnacentral:ncRNA from 1 species